GCGGUGGUAGUUCAGUGGUGGAAUUCUCCUUUUCCACGGAGGAGACCCGGGUUCAAUUCCCAGCCAGUGCA
rnacentral:tRNA from 1 species